rnacentral:rRNA from 1 species
UACAGAGGUCCCAAGCGUUGUUCGGAUUCACUGGGCGUAAAGGGUGCGUAGGUGGCCUAAAAAGUUUGAUGUGAAAGCUCAGGGCUUAACCCUGAAAUGGCAUUGAAUACUGUUGGGCUGGAGGUUUGGAGGGGGGACUGGAAUUCUUGGUGUAGCAGUGAAAUGCGUAGAUAUCAAGAGGAACACCAGUGGCGAAGGCGAGUCCCCUGGACAAACACCUGACACUGGAGGCACGAAAAGCCGGGGGGAGCAAACAG